rnacentral:rRNA from 1 species
UACGUAGGGUGCGAGCGUUGUCCGGAAUUAUUGGGCGUAAAGAGCUUGUAGGCGGUUUGUCGCGUCUGCUGUGAAAAUCCGGGGCUCAACCCCGGACUUGCAGUGGGUACGGGCAGACUGGAGUGCAGUAGGGGAGACUGGAAUUCCUGGUGUAGCGGUGAAAUGCGCAGAUAUCAGGAGGAACACCGAUGGCGAAGGCAGGUCUCUGGGCUGUAACUGACGCUGAGGAGCGAAAGCAUGGGGAGCGAACAGG